rnacentral:misc_RNA from 1 species
AACCAUAGAAACCUGCGGAGUACCUGCGGAGGGAUCAUUACAUGGCGGAGGAGGUGGGCACCUGGUAACCCCGGGUGUGUUACCUUCACGCUUUCUACCCUUGUCUAUUUGCACCUUUUGUCGUUCCCUCGGUAGGUCUUGUACCUGCCGGCGGCAACUCUCAAAACCUCUUGCAGUUAGUAUCCAAUUCUUCUGAUAAAAUAACAAAUCGUUACAACUUUUAACAAUGGAUCUCAGAUC